rnacentral:rRNA from 1 species
UACCAGCACCCCGAGUGGUCGGGACGAUUAUUGGGCCUAAAGCAUCCGUAGCCGGUCCUGCAAGUCUUCCGUUAAAUCCAGCUGCUCAACAGAUGGGCUGCGGAGGAUACUAUGGAGCUAGGAGGCGGGAGAGGCAAGCGGUACUUAGUGGGUAGGGGUAAAAUCCGUUGAUCCAUUGAAGACCACCAGUGGCGAAGGCGGCUUGCCAGAACGCACUCGACGGUGAGGGAUGAAAGCUGGGGGAGCAAACCGG